GUUUUAGUCUUAAAGACACAGCGCAAUUUAUUUUUUUGUUUAUGUUGUUACGUGUGUUUGGAGCUUUUCAAAUUAUAUAGUGCUGCUUUUUCAAAAUUUUACUUGUAGUGUUACAUUGUCAGCACCAUACUUUCACUUGUUUUUUGUACACUUUAUACAAAAACAUGCUUAUAUUCAAAUGCACAAAUAAUGCUCACAAAUAAAACCCUGCAAGGAUUGGCAAAUGGUAGAUCCCCAGCUGACAUAGCAUCACUCUUGGGGAGACCCAAAAAACUUUCUUGCACCAGGGCCUUCUCUACAUACAUUAUGCUACUGCUCUAUGGUCUUCCCUGGUUUACACCAUGCACAGUGGCAUUAUCAGACUGUCAAAUUCAAACACUUUCUGAAGCAAAGUGCACGCAUAGUAUACGUCUAAAGUUUCCCGUCCUAUACUAAGGGUAGGGUAAUUUUUUUUACAUAUACUUAAUUUAACACAGGAUCUGUUUCCAUUUACAGCUUGAUGAAAG